UCGGUCCACUGGUCAGGCGACUGGUUUAGAUUUUACACCCAACUCAAGUUAGUUUACCAAGAAGCUGGUCGUGCAACAAGCUGCUCUGACAGCUCGUGGGAGGAGGGACCAAGUCAUGUGACAGGGCCGGGGGGGCGUGUGAGGUGGUACGGUCCGAAUGAAUGUCAGGAGCCCUGGGAAGGGCAAGGGUCUGCUUGUUGCCGUGGAAACAACAGUGAAUCUCCCGCGGGCACAAUGGAUGUGGGCUACAGUGCUGGUAAAUCAACAUGAUGUACAUCAUAGAUACACUAGUGAUGGCUUAACCAGCAACAGUUUACAUGUCGAGUUAGCUGAGUGGCACCACUGUACCCAUCAUCGCUAGAGAAAGAGAUAAGGUGUAGGGGUUAUGUUGUCAUGACUUUUCACUGUAGGCUAGUUAAUACAGGUAAAUGUAUACAAAUACAGAUACAGGUUUUGUAACACACACAUUGUCACACAAAAGUAAUAUAAAAAUACAUAACAGAAAGUAAUAUUAAAGAAAUAAAACAUACAUGACUACUUGCACUUCAAUAUAAUAAAAUAUUCUUAUACUGCUGUAAAAAGAAAUAGUAAUAAAACAUUUCACAUUUAAGUUACACUGUAAAAAAAGAAGGCAAUGCUGUAAAUGGUACUGUAUAGUCUCAUAUGAAAGUAAUAGGGAAAGAUAAUAACAUCAUUAAUGAAUAUGGUGACUGCAUAUUACAAACAGCCUUGUGUACUGUUCACAUUCCCUGUUGGAUAGUGAAAAUAGAUGCAAGCUAGGCAAAUAUGAUACAUCACGGGUUAUCAAGAGGCUUGUUACAACGAUUGCCUACCGAGCAUCCAAAUCCUUUAUCAUUUUCUCCUGCUCUGUGUCUUUGUUUUUCUUUUGCAAUUCGCUCUGUUACACUUUGAGAUAAGGGCAAAUGUUUGUGGUUACUUUGAUUAGAGUUAUGACAGAAAAAUACAAUGCCUGCGAGAGCAAGACUUUAUCACUGUCCAAGAUUUUGCUUUUGAUGAAACAGAUUUUG